GGGAAAGCAGACACAUCUUUUAUGGCCUGAGAAGGAAGAAGAGAAAGAAGGGUAUGAAAUAAUUUCCUAUUGAAGUCAUCUUAACAUGGAACCAGAAUUAAAUCCUAACAACAAUCAUGUGAGCCUGGGGAGGAUCCUUCCCCACGUGAGCCUUCAGGGGAGACUUCAGCCUUGGCCAUCUUCUCCAUCUAGAUUCCUGACCAAGAGAAACUGUGAGUAAUGUGUAUGUGCUUUUCAGCCACCAAGAUGUGUGGGAAUUUGUUAUGCAACAAUAACUAAGUAAUACACCUGGCAUUGAAUGUAAUGUGGUAUCCUAGAUUAGAUACUGGAAUAGAAAAGUGACAUUAUUGGAAACCUG
rnacentral:lncRNA from 10 species